rnacentral:rRNA from 1 species
UACAGAGGGUGCGAGCGUUAAUCGGAAUUACUGGGCGUAAAGGGUGCGUAGGUGGUUUUGUAAGUAACAUGUGAAAGUCCUGAGCUUAACUUGGGGAUUGCGUGUUAAACUGCAGAGCUAGAGUGUUGUAGAGGAUAGCGGAAUUUCCGGUGUAGCGGUGAAAUGCGUAGAUAUCAAGAGGAACACCUGAGGUGAAGACGGGUUGCUGGGCCAACACUGACGCUGAUGCGCGAAAGCCAGGGGAGCAAACGGG